rnacentral:rRNA from 1 species
ACUCCUACGGGAGGCAGCAGUAGGGAAUCUUCCACAAUGGACGAAAGUCUGAUGGAGCAACGCCGCGUGAGUGAAGAAGGGUUUCGGCUCGUAAAACUCUGUUGUUAAAGAAAGAACAUAUCUGAGAGUAACUGUUCAGGUAUUGACGGUAUUUAACCAGAAAGCCACGGCUAACUACGUGCCAGCAGCCGCGGUAAUACGUAGGUGGCAAGCGUUGUCCGGAUUUAUUGGGCGUAAAGCGAGCGCAGGCGGUUUUUAAGUCUGAUGUGAAAGCCUUCGGCUCAACCGAAGAAGUGCAUCGGAAACUGGGAAACUUGAGUGCAGAAGAGGACAGUGGAACUCCAUGUGUAGCGGUGAAAUGCGUAGAUAUAUGGAAGAACACCAGUGGCGAAGGCGGCUGUCUGGUCUGUAACUGACGCUGAGGCUCGAAAGUAUGGGUAGCAAACAGGAUUAGAUACCCUGGUAGGAUAGCG